rnacentral:misc_RNA from 1 species
CCGAUUUUAGCGAGCCUGACCUUUUGGUCAUGGUCUCGCGAAAACUUUGUAUUUAAAACCCCACUCUUUAUUAUGUAAAUGAAUCAUUUAUUAUUAAUAAAUAAAGA